rnacentral:lncRNA from 1 species
UGAAACAAGUGUGGAAGAAUGACUGGGCUGAACAUGGAAAUUAGAAUAAAGGAACAAAUGCAUUAAAAGUUCUUAGGGAUGUUAGUCACUAUAUCCAAAUAUAUCCUACCCGCCCCUUAGACUACAUUGCAACCAAAAAAACCUCUUGAUUUUAGACUAAAACAACACGAUUAGUAGAGUAUUACACUAAAGGCAAGCUUAUGGUGUAUCUGUGUGGCAUGUGAAGUUCUUUGCUGAGAGUGAGUUAAUUCUUUCAAUCUAUAAUUCCUUGUUAUUUAAUUUUAUGUGUGUGGAGCUUAUCUCAAAAAAGGGAUGUGAGGGAAUAUGACUCAAGAAGAAAAAGUAAGUUUUCACCUCUCUUUAGAGUACAUAGAGUAACCAUGAGUGUGACAUUGAAUUAGAUUCUUCAUCUAAGGUGUGGUUGUUGCACUGCUUAGAUUGUUCUUUCAUAAUAGCGGGUGUGACAUCAACAGGGUAAUGCAUAAAAUGAUUACGCAUAGAAGUGUGGUUCAACUUGCUUGAGGGUGAGCAAAGAUUUAAGUGUGUGGUGAUGAUAAUAAGUGAAUUAUACUAUAAUUAAGCCCUAAAGAACCAUUUUCGUGUAUAGUGUUUAUGGCC